GAUGAAGAACGCAGCGAAAUGCGAUACUUGGUGUGAAUUGCAGAAUCCCGUGAACCAUCGAGUCUUUGAACGCAAGUUGCGCCCGAAGCCACUAGGCCGAGGGCACGCCUGCCUGGGCGUCACACGUCGUUGCCCCCCACCAUCUACUCCUUCGGGAUUGCGGGGGGCGGAUGAUGGCCUCCCGUGCGCCUAGCCGCGCGGUUGGCAUAAAUACCAAGUCCUCGGCGACGCACGCCACGACAAUCGGUGGUUGCGAAACCUCGGUUGCCCGUCGUGUGCGUUCGUCGCGCAUCGAGGGCUCGAAAAAAUGCUCGGCUCCGGCUCGGCUUUCAACGCGACCCCAGGUCAGGCGGGGUUACCCGCUGAAUUUAAGCAUAUCAAAGCGGAGGA
rnacentral:misc_RNA from 1 species